CCUUUUUUUUCCAUGUACGUCUACAACUUCACUAUAAUUAAAUUCUCCGUAAAUAAAUAUAUGUUCUCUUAUUUUGUUAAAAUGUAAUUCUUUUUCCCGAUCUCCAUGUAAAUUUGAUUUCUUACAUUUUCAUAAUAAUACUGUUGUAAUCAAAUCGAAAUAAUAUUACUACAAGUUACGAAAUUAAGAAAGAAAAAAAAAAUAAUAAUAAUAAUAAUAUGCCUGGACGUCAGAAAACAGGAACGAAAAAUGGAAAAAUGGGAAGAAGUCGACCAUCGUCACCAUCAGGAGCACACCCGCCACCGUCUCGUCAACAACGGGGGUAUACUACAACUACACAAGAUCGUAAAACAAAUCCUAUAAACCCUAAAAGUUCGACUGGUAAUUUUCAAAAUAUAGCUAGUACUGCUGCAGGAGUAGCUGCUGGUUCUGUAGUAGGUCAUGUUAUUGGAAAUGUAUUAUCUAGUGGUAUAGGACAUGGAAAUUCUGUGAAUGCAGGAUCGUCUUCCGAUUAUUCAAACGUAAUCGAAGAGAUAUGCUCGCCAGAAAUUCGACAAUUUUUUGAGUGUGCUUCAAAGAACGAAGACCUUGAUACUUGUAAAAGCUUUCACAACACUUGGUUUGAGUGUCAAAAAAGAUACAGUCAACAUCGUUCGCAAGCUUAACAUUAAAAUAUUUCGUAAGAUGCUUCAAUGACAUACCAAGAAGAGUUGAUAAUAAUUUAGAUCUGCCAUUUAAAGGACACGCAUCACCAUGAAGCCAGCAACUGUGGCUGCUGCGAUCCCUAAACCAGCCUUCCACCAGACUACAGAGUCUUGUUGUAUCAGGCCAAAUUGGUUUAAAUGUCUGUAAUGUAGAAGAUACAGAAUUUAUAAGAACAUUAGAAAAGAAUAAGAAUACUAAUGCCUUAGUAUAAAACAACCCUCACCACAUUCCGAUAUUUCAAACGUUGAAGAUAUGACAUUUGAAUGAUAAAUUUUGUUGCAUGUACAUCUACUACAUUCAUGAUUUAAUCUAUCUAUCCAUCGAAUAUAAACAAACAUACAUACAAAUAUAUAAAUGUAGUAAUAUAAUUUUUGAGUUAUUUUUAAAAGUUUUUUUUUAAUUAGAAUGAUAAGAAAAUAGAAAUUUUAUUUAAAUAUAUGUCUAUAAAAUAAGCAGAAAACUUGAUAAGAUUUAUAUAAAAAUGAUUAGAUUUACCGCUGAAAUUUAUUAAACUGAUAUGAGAAAGUGAUUAAUUAAGCUAGAUAUCAAACACGAUUAAAAGAGCGUGUUGCAUAUUUUUAGUUAUAUUAGACAUAUAAAAUAUUAUUUUUCUCUGCACUAGAGAGAAUAUAGCAAAAAAAAAAAGAAACAAAUUUAAUUAUGAGAUUGAUGAAU